CCUUGUCAGAAACCGUCGAGAGAGGUGUCCACAGAGGCGCUGUAAUUUUUCUAGUUGUUUGCAAGUUGUCCCAGAUUUUUAAGAUAAUCACAGGAGCCGCAAUUAAUUAAAAACCGAAUUAUUUUUUACCGCUCUCGGUACGAGCACCGCCCGGCUUUGGAAAUUCCCUGUUCCACUUCCACCAAAAUUGGUUUCCUUUAAAAGGAAAAUGCUCAUUUUGGGAGGGAUCUUUCUGCUUCAUACUUUCGAGUUGUAAGUACGCCUUUUGAUUUUUCUAAUUUGCGAAACCGUAUCAUUCCGAAUCCACCGAACCCCUUUUGCUUUACCCUUUUACCGUUUGAGCGACCGUAAGUCAAUCCGUUAUCCUUUCCGUUUGACUACCGUUUUGAGUUUACUUUUUUUACCUACCGUAACUUUUACCCCGUUCCGCUAAGUUUCAUUACCGCCUUAAGCUUACCGUAUUUUCUAUCGAUAGUGUUACCACCGUUUAACUAAUACCACCGUUACUGAACCAAGGUAAGCGCUUAAUUUUCAAUUACGUUGAUUAAAGGGGGGAAGUAUAUUCUGUUCUUCUUGUUUUUCCGCUUUUCGUUCCCCUAGACACCGCUAAUUGAUUUGUGCUUUAUUGCUUUAUUCCCUUUAGGAAAUUUACCGUCAGGGCCGUCGGCCAUAUUUUGUUUUAGAUAAUCCGGAAGUGACCGCCGCCAUUUUGUGGUGAACCCUGACCGAUCCCUGGUUAUUCCGUUCUCCACUAGAGGAUACCCGGAGGCUUUCCACCCCGUCCGCGAAGACCGCACCGCCCCUUUUCCCAAGACUUCGGGGGUGCUGAGUGAAGUCUUGGUGGCGCCCGAGAGACCGACCGACCGUCCCCGGUGUAAUAAUUGAAUUAAUACCGUUCGUGCACGAGCUAAGGGGGAAGUUCGUCGCACAGUUCCUCGAACUCGCCUUAUUCAUGAAUUCAUGCGAGCUGCUGCCGACCUCUAUCCACCUUCGCCUGUGCCUAUCGGAGUAGAUCUCGAGGAACCAGUGGCAGGACCGAGCAGUGCGCCGUGAUUUCAUAUCGUCAAAUUGUGCCUUUUUCCGUUUUCACUUGGCACAUUGUUGUAAACCCAUUUUACCAAUCCUUAUUUUACCGAAAUUCCUACAUCCUUCCCGACAAGGACGGGUUGACACCACCUCGUUGUCCUUGUUGGACGGCUGUUCAGUCGACAAAGGAAACCCAUUUCCUUAAUGACAUGUACGU